rnacentral:rRNA from 1 species
CAGCAGUAGGGAAUCUUCGGCAAUGGACGAAAGUCUGACCGAGCAACGCCGCGUGAGUGAUGAAGGUUUUCGGAUCGUAAAACUCUGUUGCCAGGGAAGAAUGAUGUGGCGAGUAACUGCGCUGCAAAUGACGGUACCUGAGAAGAAAGCCCCGGCUAACUACGUGCCAGCAGCCGCGGUAAUACGUGGGGGGCAAGCGUUGUCCGGAAUUAUUGGGCGUAAAGCGCGCGCAGGCGGUCCAUUAAGUCUGGUGUAUAAACCAAGGGCUCAACCUUUGGACGCAUUGGAAACUGGUGGACUGGAGUGUAGGAGAGGAAAGUGGGAUUCCACGUGUAGCGGUGAAAUGCGUAGAGAUGUGGAGGAACACCAGUGGCGAAGGCGACUUUCUGGCCUAUAACUGACGCUGAGGCGCGAAAGCGUGGGGAGCAAACAGGCUUAGAUACCCUG